UUUUAAGAAAUCAAGUCUUUUAAGCAUGCUCAUGCAUCAUGAAUGCCAUGUAUAUGUAUUAGGUUAUUUUGCAUUAGAAUUCACGAAUAUGACGCAUUGCAUAUUUUACUAUUAAUGUAGAUGGAUGUUGGAUGACCCACUAGCCCUCGAGUAUGAUACGUUACGACGGAUAUAGAAAGACCAGGGCUGCCCAUGUUAUGCUCCUGGUAAUAUGUAAGGGAAAGACCAGGGCUGCCCAUUCUACGCCCCUGGCAC
rnacentral:lncRNA from 1 species